GAAUAUGCCUCUCGUUCGCUCAGCCCUAUUUAAGCAAGAUACUGGUAGAUCAGUAAUUAGGUAGGUGACUACUAGCGAAUUCCCGCCGUUGUAUGU
rnacentral:rRNA from 1 species